CCGAGAGCCUCACCAGCUGUUUUUCCAUGUCCUCAUCCCGAGGAGAGCUAACGAAGAUCGUGUUCUGCAUCAGACCCACAAAGCACCAGAAGGUGUCUGACUCAUCCAGGACCUCGGCCAGGAUGGGCGCCACCAGGAGGCAGCAGAAUGUCAAAGAUGCCAGCCUCGGCCUGUGUGGCUUUAUCACCCUGAGGACCACCCAGUGGGAGACAGAGACACUCAGCGGGAGGCUGGUCCACAGCUGGUGUGAGCCAAGCAAGCUUAGGCUCGGUGGAUGCUCAGGGGGUGGAGACCUUUGCUGGCACCCUUGGGAGGGGGCCUAUGGGCUUCCCUGGGUGGCUGGGACCAUAACAGGCCCACUGAUGUUCCCUAAGGAUGCUCUGAUUCGGGGGCAUUGAUUGUAUGAACCUGGAAGAAAGACCCCUGACCCCAGCAGAAGCUGCUGGUCCACUUCCCAGAGGGUCAGCUGAGGCCUGAGAGUGAACUGCACAUUUCGCCAGAACGCUCUGUGCUCCUCAGGGGUCAUGGAGAGCCUGGCACGGAGCAGAGCGCCCGCCGGGGUCAGCCAGGCACACGCUCCAGGUCUGCGGGGCGUCCCUCCCAGCCCGGCUCGCGGUUGGCAACUAGGGCCGCUGGCAAACCCUCCAGCUCCCACUGACUUGCAGGGGCGGGGGCUGAGGUGGGAUAGGAGUCCAAGGCUUUCCCAGCGUGAACACGGCCUCACGCGUCCCAGCAUCCCAGCGUCCCGGCGGAGAGCUCACCGCAGCCCCCGCUAGGCGAGGCCCGAACAGACCUCAGCAGUCCAAGCUCCCCGCCGACCCCGAGGCCCCGCUGCCACCCCGGCGUUGAGCGGUGGGAUGUCAGCGCCUCGUUAAGUCUGUUGAAAAAGAAUUCUAAAACCUUGACAUGCGAGCUAAAGAGAGCCAGUCCCGGGGCCGGGCGCUGGGGUAAUGACGGCACUUAUCCUGCCCCAUCGCUCACGGUCCUGGGAGACCCAUUUUCCAAGGAAACUAUGGGUCACGGAACAUAUUAUCAAUGCUGAAUUGCGCCUCAAAUUGCCUUUCCAAAUGGCAUUUCCCUCCGCGGCUCGGGGGGUGGGGGUUUCCCUCCGCGGCUCGAGGGGCCCGGCCAGGCGCCUCGGUCACCU